AACGAACGCUGGCGGCAUGCCUAACACAUGCAAGUCGAACGAGACCUUCGGGUCUAGUGGCGCACGGGUGCGUAACGCGUGGGAACCUGCCCUUAGGUACGGAAUAACUCCCCGAAAGGGGUGCUAAUACCGGAUAAUGUCUUCGGACCAAAGAUUUAUCGCCUUUGGAUGGGCCCGCGUUGGAUUAGCUAGUUGGUAGGGUAAAAGCCUACCAAGGCGACGAUCCAUAGCUGGUCUGAGAGGAUGAUCAGCCACACUGGGACUGAGACACGGCCCAGACUCCUACGGGAGGCAGCAGUGGGGAAUAUUGGACAAUGGGCGAAAGCCUGAUCCAGCAAUGCCGCGUGAGUGAUGAAGGCCGUAGGGUUGUAAAGCUCUUUUACCCGGGAUGAUAAUGACAGUACCGGGAGAAUAAGCUCCGGCUAACUCCGUG
rnacentral:rRNA from 1 species